rnacentral:rRNA from 1 species
GUGAGGAAUAUUGCGCAAUGGAGGCAACUCUGACGCAGCCAUGCCGCGUGCAGGAAGAAGGCGCUACGCGUUGUAAACUGCUUUUAACCGGGAAGAAACCCCAGGACGUGUCCUGGGUUGACGGUACCGGAGGAAUAAGCACCGGCUAACUUCGUGCCAGCAGCCGCGGUAAUACGAAGGGUGCAAGCGUUAUCCGGAUUCAUUUGGUUUAAUGGGUGCGUAGGCGGAGCGUUAAGUCAGUGGUUACAUCCUGCAGCUUAACUGUAGACUUGACAUUGAUACUGGCGCUCUUGAGUGCGCUUGAAGUGGGCGGAAUGUGCCGUGUAGCGGUGAAAUGCUUAGAUAUGGCACAGAACACCAAUUGCGAAGGCAGCUCACUAAGGCGAUACUGACGCUGAGGCACGAAAGCGUGGGGAUCGAACAGGAUUAGAAACCCUUGUAGUCC